rnacentral:tRNA from 1 species
GAUAGCUCAGUCAGUAGAGCAUUAGACUAUUAAUAUCAGGGUCGUGGGUUUGAACCCCACAUUGGGCA